rfam:Picea glauca, whole genome shotgun sequence.
CGGUGCGAUCAUACCAGCGUUAAUGCACCGGAUCCCAUCAGAACACUGCAGUUAAGCACGCUUGGGCUAGAGUAGUAUUGGGAUGGGUGAACUUUCGAGAAGUCUGAGUGCUGCACCCU